rnacentral:miRNA from 1 species
GGAUGUCCGGUUAAAUUUGAAUUCCAGAUAAACAACAAAUAAUUUUUGAGUAUAAGUAUGUCCCAUGUAACAUUUGGGACAUACUUAUACUAUAAAAGUAUUCAUUUAUCUGAAAUUCAAAUUUAACUAGGCAUC